rnacentral:tRNA from 1 species
GCGUGUAAUGCCCCAACGGUUCGGGGCGGUGUCUGUAAAACACUGUAACCAUCAAGGGGGUUCGACUCCCUCUACACGCAC